AUGGAAGAGCUGAGACACCACCAGACAGAUGUCAGAAGAAAACUCAGGAAAAGGGUAGAGCAGCCGCCCUCCACAGUGAGGAAUUGGUGGAAUUUUGGCAUGAUGCUUGGGACCUAUCCUGGCUCAUCUCUUCUUUCUGGAGGAACAGAAACAGUAUCUGUGCAACCUGACCUGGACAGUGCCAAGCUGCGGAGAGACGCUGGCCGCUUCCCUCUCUCGGACCUCUCUCUGAACCUCAAGGGUAUAGUGGUGACCUUUGAGGACGUAGCUGUGUAUUUUACGGAGAAGGAGUGGACUCUGCUGGAUCCGGCCAAAGGGCUCUCCACAGGGACGUCAUGGAGGAGAAUUGGGCCAAUCUGGUCUCCCUAG
rnacentral:lncRNA from 1 species